rnacentral:rRNA from 1 species
CCGGCGCACGGGUGAGUAACGCGUAUGCAACUUACCUAUCAGGAGGGGAUAACCCGGCGAAAGUCGGACUAAUACCGCAUGAAGCAGGGGCCCCGCAUGGGGAUAUUUGCUAAAGAUUCAUCGCUGAUAGAUAGGCAUGCGUUCCAUUAGGCAGUUGGCGGGGUAACGGCCCACCAAACCGACGAUGGAUAGGGGUUCUGAGAGGAAGGUCCCCCACAUUGGAACUGAGACACGGUCCAA